rnacentral:rRNA from 1 species
UGCCAGCAGCCGCGGUAAUACGAGGGGUCCAAGCGUUGUUCGGAACUACUGGGCGUAAAGCGGGUGUAGGCGGAUACGCCAGUCGGAUGUGAAAGCCCAGGGCUCAACCCUGGAAGUGCAUCCGAUACUGCGUAUCUUGAGUACUGGAGAGGGAAGUGGAAUUCCUGGUGUAGCGGUGAAAUGCGUAGAUAUCAGGAGGAACAUCGGUGGCGAAGGCGACUUCCUGGACAUGUACUGACGCUCAGACCCGAAAGCGUGGGGAGCAAACAGGAUUAGAUA